GACAGAGGAUGCAAGCGUUAUCCGGAAUGAUUGGGCGUAAAGCGUCUGUAGGUGGCUUUUUAAGUCCGCCGUCAAAUCCCAGGGCUCAACCCUGGACAGGCGGUGGAAACUACCAAGCUAGAGUGCGGUAGAGGGUAGUGGAAUUCCCGGUGUAGCGGUGAAAUGCGUAGAGAUCGGGAGGAACACCAGUGGCGAAGGCGGCUACCUGGACCAGCACUGACACAUGAGGCACGGAAAGCGUGGGGAGCAAACAGG
rnacentral:rRNA from 1 species